rnacentral:tRNA from 1 species
GCCCCCAUAGUUUAAUGGUAAAACGCAAGCAUGGUAAGCUUGAAUUGAAAGUUCGAUUCUCUCUGGGGGCACCA